rnacentral:rRNA from 1 species
UUAAGGUACUGAAUCUCUUUAGUCGCAGUAGGCGGAAAACGAACAAGCGCAAGAGUAAACAUAGUGCCAUGCUCAGGAACAAAGAAACGCGGCACAGAAUGUUUAUAGGUCUGUUGAACACGACCAGAAAACUGGCCUAACGACGUUUGGUCAGUUCCAUCAACAUCAUAGCCAGAUGCCCAGAGAUUAGAG